rnacentral:rRNA from 1 species
GACGAACGCUGGCGGCGUGCUUAACACAUGCAAGUCGAACGGAAAGGCCCUGCUUUUGUGGGGUGCUCGAGUGGCGAACGGGUGAGUAACACGUGAGUAACCUGCCCUUGACUUUGGGAUAACUUCAGGAAACUGGGGCUAAUACCGGAUAGGAGCUCCUGCUGCAUGGUGGGGGUUGGAAAGUUUCGGCGGUUGGGGCUGGACUCGCGGCUUAUCAGCUUGUUUGUGGGGUAGUGGCUUACCAAGGCUUUGACGGGUAGCCGGCCUGAGAGGGUGACCGGCCACAUUGGGACUGAGAUACGGCGCAGAAUCCUACGGGAGGCAGCAGUGGGGAAUAUUGCACAAUGGGCGGAAGCGUGAUGCAGCAACGCCGCGUGCGGGAUGACGGCCUUCGGGUGGUAAACCGCUUUCGCCUGUGACGAAGCGUGAGUGACGGUAAUGGGUAAAGAAGCACCGGCUAACUACGUG